rnacentral:rRNA from 1 species
UACGGAGGGUGCAAGCGUUAUCCGGAUUCACUGGGUUUAAAGGGUGCGUAGGAGGGCAGGUAAGUCAGUGGUGAAAUCUCCAAGCUUAACUUGGAAACUGCCGUUGAUACUAUCUGUCUUGAAUACCGUGGAGGUGAGCGGAAUAUGUCAUGUAGCGGUGAAAUGCUUAGAUAUGACAUAGAACACCCAUUGCGAAGGCAGCUAACUACGCGAUUAUUGACGCUGAUGCACGAAAGCGUGGGGAUCAAACAGG